rnacentral:rRNA from 1 species
AUACGGAAGGUCCGGGCGUUAUCCGGAUUUAUUGGGUUUAAAGGGAGCGCAGGCGGAGAUGCAAGCGUGACGUCAAAUUUCGGGGCUCAACCCCGUCUCGCGUCGCGAACUGCGUCCCUUGGUUGCGGGAAGGGGAGGCGGAACUCGUGGUGUAGCGGUGAAAUGCAUAGAUAUCACGAAGAACGCCGAUCGCGAAGGCAGCCUUCCGGCCCGUCAACGACGCUCAUGCUCGAAGGUGCGGGUAUCAAACAGGAUUAGAUACCCUGGAAGUCCGCACAGUAAACGAUGGACACCCGCGGUUUGGCCUAUAUGGCUGAGCCGCCAAGCGAAAGCGUUAAGUGUCCCACCUGGGGAGUACGCCGGCAACGGUGAGACUUAAAGGAAUUGACGGGG